ACUCAUUCCCCUUUCUUCCCCCUCCCGUCAUUUGUUUCCUUGUGCGUGCGCACUGCACCUUCCGUUCUCGUUCUAAUAUCAAGUAAAAUGCUACAGCGCCGUGACUCACAUUUGCGAAUAAACCUGAGGACCAUAAUUCAAGUCGCACGUAACGUCGAAAGAAUCAUCUGCAAAAAAAUGGGUGCAACACGAGGACUUC
rnacentral:lncRNA from 1 species